UACAGAGGGUGCAAGCGUUGUCCGGAAUCAUUGGGCGUAAAGAGCGUGUAGGCGGCUCGAUAAGUCUGCUGUGAAAGUCCAGGGCUCAACCCUGGAAGGCCGGUGGAAACUGUCGGGCUAGAGUCCGGAAGAGGCGAGUGGAAUUCCCGGUGUAGCGGUGAAAUGCGCAGAUAUCGGGAGGAACACCAAUGGCGAAGGCAGCUCGCUGGGACGGUACUGACGCUGAGACGCGAAAAGCGUGGGGAGCAAACAGG
rnacentral:rRNA from 1 species